UUUAGUGAAUUAAAUCAAUUCUACAUACUAUAUACUAUCUAAUACUGGCUAUGCCUUGUUGUGAAUAGAACGAAAGAGAGCUGUGGCUGAAUCCACUGUCGUCACGGAGUUAAAGGCAGUGAAUUCCAUUAAAAUGGUGGAGGAUGUGGAGAUUUGAGAAGCGCUACUCACGGGAGGUCCGGUCCACAGAGGGAUAUUGGACCACAUCGACUCUUCAGAUCCCAGAGACUUCCAGGGUUUAGAGAUUCCCAGUUCAGUUGGCUGGGUGGCGAGCUACAGGAUGGAGACUCUGAACUUAGACGGAUUGCCCUGGAUUCCUUCUUCAUGGUGGUAGGACAAACAGAAACCAAAGUCAUAUGGGCCCCAACGUUGAACAUCUCUGAACUCUUGUCAUCAAAGAACAAUUGAGCUCAUAGAACUGAAAAGGGUUUCUGUUAUGUGCGUUUAUUAUUUUAGUUAUUUUUCAUACCUGUGUUUAUCUGUAUGUAUGCCAUGUUUCUGUGUAUAUUAAUACACUUCUCAAACUGUAUCCUGGUUUCCUAGUCUCUUUAUUGAUGUUCAAUUCUCUGGCUCUUACCAAUCUAGUUUUCUUCUGGUUCUGGUCCAAAUUCACACUGAUAUCAACUACAUAACACUACUACGAGCUAUUUCAUAAAUGUACAUUCUUACUACAUUGUAAUAAGGGUUACAAAUA